UAAUUGCUUCCAUGUUU
rnacentral:miRNA from 2 species